UACGUAGGGUGCGAGCGUUAAUCGGAAUUACUGGGCGUAAAGCGUGCGCAGGCGGUUUUGUAAGCCAGAUGUGAAAUCCCCGGGCUUAACCUGGGAAUGGCAUUUGGGACUGCAAGGCUCGAGUGCGGCAGAGGAGACUGGAAUUCCUGGUGUAGCAGUGAAAUGCGUAGAUAUCGGGAGGAACACCAGUGGCGAAGGCGACUACCUGGCCUGUUCUUGACGCUGAGGCGCGAAAGCUAGGGGAGCAAACGGG
rnacentral:rRNA from 1 species